ACCUUGCCUUCUUUCUAUAUAUACUUUUCUCUCAAACCAUAGAGUAAACGUGUUCUAUAUUGUUUGUUCUUGUUUUGUGUUUAACUCGUUUGUGAUGAAUUCGACUUCUUGAUUCCAAUUUUUUCUAGCCCUUUGAUAUCCGUUGCUCCGAUUUCGAUUUCUUCUACUCGUUCUUGAUAUCCUUUGCUCCGAUUGCUUGCUUCUUGAUGGCUCGAUUUCAGGGUUUUCUAUUAAAGGAGAUCCUUAUGGAUUUGCGUACUGAUAUGUUUCUUCUUAGAUUGUUGAUAUCAAGAAUUUCACAUGUUUCAAUCUUUCUUUUUAGAUUCUGAGAGCAUAUUUUCUUUAAGUAAAUUUUUUCGUUUAAAUAUUUCUGUUUUCAUUGUUGAUUUUGUUCAUCUUCGGUGUUGCAGGAGAGGUAAUCUGUGAACACACGAUUCCUUCUUGGUUCUAUCUUCCUCUUGUUUGAUCUUGAUGUUUUGUAUUCUUAUUCUCUUAUCCUUUAUCAUAUAGGUUCUUGAUUUUGUUCUUGCUGGUUUCUUUCAUUGAGUUUGUUUUUCUUAUUUGCAUGAUCUGCUGCUAUUUUUGAGUUCGUUGGGAGUCUUGAUGCGAGUUUUCUGUUUUUAGACGUUUUGCAAGACAUGGUCAUCAUUCAUCACCCCUGGUUGAAUUUACUGAAUUUAAUUUCUAUCAUUGAAUUGUGUUAUUUUCCUAUUAUGGCUUUGAAUGUUUUGAUCUCCAUACAUGUGAAUUGAAACACGAACCCGUUUUCUGCAGUGAAGGGUGUUUUGAAGUAAAAUAACGUUUUGUGUAGUAUCAAGCCUCAGGUUUACUUUUGUACACUCUUCUUGGAUUGUGAAUCAUUUUCAUUUCAUCUGUGAGUUUUUAUUGCUAGUGUUCUUGAUUUACUCCUUUAUGAUUUCCACUUGUGAAAUUUUCGGCUUGGUGUUGGUGGUUUUGGAGAGACUGAGACAGUUUGGUGAGCCUAUCUAAUUGGCGACUUGGUUUGGAGAAUUAUGCUAUUUGUCACAGCGUAAUCAUUCUGAUUAUCUGUUUGCUGGGACAACUUUGUUGGGAGAGGUUUCUGUUAUCGUCUUUUACUCAUUAGUUGUUUUUGUGGUUAUUUGUGAUUUACAAUGAUACUCCUAAAAAGAUAUCCUCUUUGUUACAGUGGACCAAGGACUCAUCUGUAGUAAGAAGAAGCCAAAAUUGUGUCAUUUCAUAUGGAGUACAUGAUCUUGCAAGUUGGAUGGAAAUUUGUUCCAAUGAUUCAUAAGCUCUUGCAGGCUGUGUCGUAUACUUUUAGCUGUUGCUAGCUUUUAAUUCGGCCAUCUUUACUAAGAAUCUUCACAUUUCAUUAUUUGUUUGAUACUCAGCAUAUACUUUUUGUCAGUUCCUUUGAGUUUCCUGUGUGGAAGUUACAGGGGAGAUAGCCUAUGACUGUGUAGUUUGCUGUGGAACUCGAGGCAGGAAGAGGUUCAGUUCUCACACACCCUUAGGAUAAAAACGGUCAUUUUGUACUUACAUAUCUAAUAUCUUAUUGUUUUGGGAUAUUUGUCCUUUGAUGGAGUGCCCUGCUGGUUUUGGAUUUUUUGUGUUGCUGUUUCAGCAAGAUUCUAGAGUGUUGAAGCAUACAAGAUUCUAGAGUGUACAUUUUCCCUCACUGAGGAUGUGGAAUUAAGGAUAACUUGGUUUGUCAUUUUUUUGUUCUGUUGAUUUGCCACUUCCUUUGUCAUAUUUGUUUCUAUUUUCUUGUCAAUUGUGAUACUUAGGAGUAAGGUUAAGAAUAAUAGUAUUAUCUCUAGGUGUACAUGAAUUCCUUCUAGUAUAGGGGUAAAGUCUAAUUUUGCAUUGGAGCACUGGAAUCUAAAAUUGGUUAAUGAACUCCUUGUGGUAUAGGGGUAAAGCCUAAUUUUGCAUAGGAGCUCUGGAAUAUACAAUUGGUUGUGUCCUAUAUUAUCACGAUUGUUGUUCUUUCAUUUGGUGAUCUCUACUUUGACUAUGUUAUUUUCUGGUUUCUUAGUCUUUUAAGACUUGUUUUCUCGAUCUUUUGAGAGCUAUGUGUGGAUGUCACAGGGGGAUGUUGACAGUGAAAGCCAUCGCAUAGAUUAUCAAGGACGUGCUUUUGCUACGGAGAGAGCCAAAUGUACCAUGGGAUGUGGCAGCUGUUGUAGACAUUAUCAAGGACAUGCCUUUGGAUUUAAUGGGUCAUUUUUCUCCUUGAAUGUGUUUAUUCUGGAAUUCUAAAAUGGGAUAUCGUAUGAUAUUGUAAUGUGGCGAUGUUGAUUUUUGUGUUUUUUACUGUAUUUGUAAGAGAGGUUCUGAAGUGCAUGGACAUCUUUUUCAAGGAUAAUUUAAGACAUGCAUUUAUGUGUUUCGCAGUGAGUUGAAGUUUAGAUAUCUAAAACGUUGAGCCUUGUUGGAUGGAUAAGAAAGGGGAAAGCCCUAGAUAAAUCAAAUUUCUUCAGUGUCAUUAUAAUUUUUAUUUUUGGAUGUUGAUCGCAAAACAUACAAAUGAAUUGUGAACUUAUUUUUCUGCAGUGUGGUUUGUCCAUAUGAUAACCUUAUUCGAAGUAUCAAGCCUUGAGUUUUGGUUGGGUGAUAUCUAGUAUUAUCUUUUUGUUUCAGUAUUUCCUUAUCGAUUCUGAAAGCAUCUAUUUCUAAUUGUUAUUCCCCUUUUGAUUUUGCAGCGGUGGUAAUAUGUGAAACACACAAUUCCUUCUGGUCCUAUCAUACUGGUUGAUAUAUUCUAUUUUCCCUCUUUUCUCCCUGGUGAUUUUGGUUUCCCGGUUGAGGUUUUAUUCGGAGUUUGUUGUUCUUAUUUUAAAUAUAUCUGCCUAUAUUAUUGAGUUGUUAGAUCUUUGUUUGUUUGCUCUUCUAAUUCUUCUUUUACGUCAAUGUCAAUUGUGAUACAUAAGAAUAAUCAAGGUAUGCUCUUAAAAAGGAAGACAAUUGUGAUUCUCAAUAGAAUGGAUAAGACGGAGAACUGCUCCAGAUAUAAUAAUCAAAUUUCUUCAAUUAGUCAUUCUUCAUUUUUUAAUUUCAGGCUUUGAUCAGAAGAAAAAAGAAAAUAAUUGUGAGAAUAUUUUUCUGCAGCGCGAUUUGUCAAACUAAUAAUGUUCUACAUGGAGUGUGCUUUGAUGUUUGAUUUGGUAAUCUCUAGUAAAUUCUUUUCGUUUUCAAUAAUUCUCUAUCAAUCAAUUCUAAAAGCGUAUUUUGGUUGAGUUGUUGUUUCCUUUUUGGUGUUGCAGGAUAUUUAAAUCUAUGAACAUGUUAUUCCUUUUGUUUCUAUCUUGGUUUUGUAUGAUCUUUCAUGUAUUGUAUUUUGAUUAUUUUUUGUUUUCUUGAUUCUGAGUUUUGAUUUGGCUCUGGAUUUCAUCGCUGUACACGUGGAAUUGAAAUAUGAACUUUGUUUGUUUCCACACAUUAACAUUAUGUGUAGAGUACCAAGCUUUAGUUUUAAUUUGGUACCCUAUACUAUAUUAUUAUAAAUUAUGUCCAUUUCAUUUCUUCUCGGUCAAUUCCUAUCAAGCAGACCAGUUUUCUCAAUUUACUCUCUUAUGAUUUCCACUGUUUCCGGUCGGAUGAGUUUAUUGGUGUGUGUUGUAAGAGUUGGUUGGUAUAAUUGAAAAGUUGAGCCUUAGGGGUUUUCUUAGUUCUUAUCAUUAAGACUUCUUUUUUCUUACAAAUGUUUGUUCUACAUUUGGGUUUUGGAUUUGUAUUCUUACAGUGCAAAAGUUUACAUGAUCUGGAAAAUUUGGGAGAAAAACCAAGAAAAAAGAUUGAAGAGUAGCAUAGUUCUGCAAAUCAUGUUGCAUAUCAUCAGAACAAAGAGAUAGCGCCUAUGUUUGAGUGAAGAAGUUCAGUUCACAUACCCUUCGGUAAAAACAAUCAUUUUUUUCUUUACGUGUCUAAUAUUUUAUUGUUUAGGAAUAUUUGUCCUUUGAUGGAGUGCCCUACUGGUGUUGGAUUUUUUGUGUUUCUGUUUCAGCAAGAUUAUGUAGUGUUUGAAGCAUACAAGAUUCUAGAACUAGAUCAAACAACGUAGCUGUUAAAUUUUGGGUUGGAGGACUAGAAUCUACAAUUGACUGUUAUAUUAUCAAAGUCGUUGUUCUUUCAUUUGGUUGUCUCUACUUUUGACUAAAUUGUUCACGUUUUUGUCUUUUUAUCAUCAUGUGUUGGUAUCACGAGGAGGAUGUAGAGUGAAAGCCAUGUCAUAGAUUAUCAAAAGAGAGCAUAUUAAUGUAUCAUUGGAUGUGAAAGCUGUUGCAAACAUUUUAAGGACAUGUUUUGAGCCUUUGGAUUUAGUGGGUGAUUUUUCUCCUUGAAUUUAUUAAUUCUGGAAUGGGUAUCCUGAUAUUUUCAUUUGGCAAUACUGAUUAAUGUGUUUUUUAUUAAAAGUUUAAGGAGGGCUUCAGUAUAUAUGAUUUUGAAAUACACGUACAUUUCUUUCAAAAGAUAAUUUGAGACAUGCGUUUAUCUGUUUACAACAAGAAUUGAAACUUAGUUCAUCUAGAGCCUUUUUUGAUACUUAAUGCAUGGAUUAAUUACGGACUUUGAUGGUAAGGCGUACUAGUGAAUCGUUAACUUAAUUAUGUGCAGCUUGGUGUAUGAAAAUUACAUGUACAUUUCUUUCAAAAGAUAAUUUGACACAUGCGUUCAUCUGUUUACAGUAAGAAUUGAAACUUAGUUCAUCUAGAGCCUUUUUUGAUACUUAAUGCAUGGAUUAAUUACAGACUUUGAUGGUAAGGCGUACUAAUGAAUCGUUAACUUAAUUAUGUGCAGCUUGGUGUAUGAAAAUUACAUGUACAUUUCUUUCAAAAGAUAAUUUGAAACAUUCGUUCAUCUGUUUACAGUAAGAAUUGAAACAGACUUUGAUGGUAAGGCGUACUGAUGAAUCGUUAACUUAAUUUUGUGCAGCUUGGUGUAUGAAAAUGACAACGUUCUUCAUAGCAUCGAGGCUUCAGUUUUGAUUUUGUGAUCCCUACUAUAUUCUUUUGGUUUCAGUAUUUCCGUAUUGAUUCGGAGAGAAUUUUUUUCUAAUUGUUAUUUCCCUGUUUGGUGUUGCUGGAGAAGUAAAACACAAUUCCUUCUGGUUCUAUCUUACUGUUUGAUCUUUAUUAUUUUCACUAUUUUCUCCUUGGUUAUUUUGGUUUCCUGAAUGAGGUUUUAUUUAUGUUCUUGCUGGUUUUGAGCUUGAAGUUUGCUUUUAUUACUAUGAUUAUUGUAUUUGCUGUUAUUAUUGUGUUUUUAGUGCUUUGAUUGUUUGCUCUUCCAAUUCUUGUUUUAUGUCAAUUUUUUGAAUUUGAAUUUUUUUCUUCGUUUGAUUGUUUAUAUAGUUUUUGGAUAUAAUUAUGCAUUCGAAAAUCGAGACAUUUUUCAGCUAGUUGAUUCCUCGAUAUCUACAAUGUUUUGUGAUUCUCAAUACUACAGUUAAGACGGAGAAUGGCUCCAUAUAGAAAAUCAAACUUCUAAAAUUAGUCGUUCUUCAAUUAUUUUUAAUUUUGCUUUGAUCAGUAGAAAUAAGAAUAUGAUUGUGCGCAUGUUUUUUGCAUCCUGGUUUGUCAAUUUGAUAACUUUCUUUUUGGAGUGGAGGCUUCAUUUUUUAUUUGGUAAUCUCUAGCAUAUGGAUUUUGUUUUCAAUAACUCUUUGGUGUUGCAAGCUAAGUUAUCUAUGAACAUGUGAUUCCUUUUGAUUCUAUCUUCCUCUUGUUUGAUCUUUCAUGUUCUGUAUUCUGAUUAUUUUCUGGUUUCUUUACUCUAUUAUGAUUUUCACUAUUUCAGGUAAGAUAAGUCUUUGGGUGUAUGGUAAGAGUUGGUAGUUAUAAUUGAAAAGUUGAGCUUUAAAGGUUGUCUUACCAUUAAUACUACUUUUUGCAUACAAAUGUUUGUUCUACAUUUGGGUUUUUGAUUGUAUUAUGACAGUGCAAAAGCUUACACAGUUAUGGAAAAAUUGGGAUGACUUGGUGAGCCUGUCAUCUUUUUUCUUGUUUUUUUGUGCAUCUAUUUGUAACAACAUAUUUCCUCCGUACAUGUAUCAUUUUGGUGUUACGUGAGUUUGAUGUGAAAUAUUUUCCUUCUUUGUCACUCACCACCUUUUUAGUUCUCCCUUUGAUGUAGAGAAAUUGGAGAUGAGUUCCGUUCUGCUUUGUACAAUAAUGUCAUGAUGGCCGUUCAUAUAUUUCCUAGGCUUUAAUUGCGGCAACUACACUUCUCGAUUCCUUUGCGAAAGAUUAGCCGAUUUUGAUCUUAAGGAUAUGGACUGCGACAUCUGUGGCGUUAGUAUCAAGUUCAAUCGGAUAUAACUUUGAAUGUAAUGUGGGAUGUGAAGGCAUUGGCUGACAUACAUUAUGAAGGAUGUGAAGCCUUUAGGAUAAAACUUGUCAUUGUAUCAAAAUGUAAUUUUUGUUGAAUUAAAUAGUUGUGCUUAUAUGAUGUGGUGUUGGUGAUAUUUAUUUUUUUGUUUAUCAAGAUAAGAAAUGUUUUAGUAUUUUAUGAUUCUUCCAAACAUUGGGUAGGAUAUCGAUUUUGGAGUAUACUUCCUACACUGAAAUCCUUUUUUUUUUUUUUUUUCUUUCUUAUCACGGUUUUUACAAGAUGUCUAAAUUUUAUUUCGUUAUAAUUUAUAUUUAAUUAAUUUUGAUUAAAAGAAUUUUGAACCUAAUUUUUUUUUGCUGUUUUGCAGUGUUUAUCAAAAUUCUUCAAGGCAUGGCUUGAAUGUAAAAAUUUGAAUAUUUUCUUAGGUUUUAAUUUUAAAAAACAAUAUGAAUAAAUAUAAGUAGUUUUUGGCAUUUAUAAAUUGUGUUCGUUGUAGUAUUCUAAGGUUUGAACUCAUUCACUUAGAAAAGAAACUUAGAGCAUGACUAAGGAAGCAACAAAUUGAGGUUAGGUUCCAAUUAUUUAUAUGUACUUAUUUUUUAUGUCCAGGAAAAUGAUGAUGAACCAUAAAAAGCGAAUCCAAAGUAAGUUACAAUAUACAAUACAUAAAGUCUUUUUUCUUUGAUAAAUGGAUGUCUAUCUAAUUGACUUUUUUAAAGAGUUAAUUUAGUUUCUUGUAUUGCUAUGUCUGUUUUUAGAAGUCUCUUUAAUGACGGGUGACAACUUAAGCCAAAUUAUAUUUGUAGAUUGUUGAUCAAUAAUUAAUAUAUAUUUAAAGAAAUUGGAAAUGAGUUCCUUUCUACUUUGUACAAUAAUGUCAUGAUGACCGUUCUUAUAUUUCCUAGACGUUAAUUGGGAAAACCACACUUCUCGAUUCUUUUGCAAAAGAUUAGCUAGUAAGAUUAUAAACCUCUUACUUCAACGAGUUAUUCAUUUAUUAUUUUUAUUUAUGUGCUUUGAUUGCCAGACAUACAAAUUGAAUUAUGAACCUGUUUUUGUGUGGUGUGUGCGAAGCAUAUUUUUCUUCUAAUAAGUUCAAUUCAUUUAAAUAUUUCUUUAUUGAUUUUGUCAGCAUAUUUAUCUUGAUUGUGGUUUAAUCUUUGUUGUUGCAGGUUCAAUUCCUUCUGGUUAUAUCUUUGGCUGGUUUGAUCUUCUUGUUUUGUAUUCUUAUUCUUUUCUGGUUGUUGAUUUUGGGGCUUGAUUUGGUUCUUGCUGGUUUCGAUAUGCGGCUAUUAUUUAGAUUUUAACGGUUUUUCUAAUUAUUUUAAUGUUCUGCACCUAUUAUUUAGAUUUCAAUUCACUGUUCUUCCUAUUCCACUUUUGCGUCAGUUAUUUCAAUAAUUUUCUUCGGUUGAUCAUGUUUAGUGUCAGUAGGUUGGACUUCUGAUGUUUGUAAGGUGUUGUAGAGAUGUUUUGCGAAACUAGAUACACGAUUAUUAGUUUUUAACUCGUGGUUAAAUAUAGUCAAUUUUAUUUCUUCAUUUAAAUUUAUUAUUAUUUUGAUUUUAAUUUCAGGCUUGAUUGCCACACAUUGAAUUGAAAUAUGGACCUGCUUUCUGUAGUGUAGUGGAUCAAGUCUCAAGUUUGUUUUGGCUGGGAUUGUGAAUUAUUUUCCUUACAUUUCUUUUUUGGAGUUAGACUGUCUAGUUUUGUUGAUUAUGUUACAGGUGAGAUAUGUCUAUUGAUGUGGAGUGAGGAUUACAAUUGAAAGGUUUUGGCUUAGGGUUUCUUUACCCAUCAAUGCUCAUUUUUCUUAACCAGAAUACGACUUUUUUUUAUUUAUUUUUUUAAAUUUUGGUUUUCAAACCUGUAAUCUGGCAGUGCGGAAGUUCAUACUAUUAUGGAGAGAUGAGAAUGAUAUGUGAGCCUUUCCUAUUAAAUGCUGCUCGACAACAUGGUUUGGAGAAUUAUGUUACUCUUUGUUUUUCUUGGGUUUUUUCACAAAUAGUCAAUGUAAUUUUAUUGUACGUAUUUCAAAAAUAUUUUUCACAAAUAUUUCACUUGUAUAUAAAAAUGGUCAUUUUGUAUUUACAUAUCUAAUAUCUUAUUGUUUUGGGAUAUUUGUCUUUUGAUGGAGUGCCAUGGGGUUUCGGAUUUUUUGUGUUGCUGUUUCAGCAAGAUUCUAGAGUAUUGAAGCAUACAAGAUUCUAGAGUGUACCUUUUCACUCAUCGAGGAUGUGGAAGGGUUGUAAUAUGUGAAACACAAUUUAUGUGUUUUGCAGUGGGUUGAAGUUUAGAUAUCUAAAACGUUGAGCCUUGUUGGAUGGAUAAGAAAGGGAAAGCCCUAGAUAAAUCAAAUUUCUUCGGAGUCAUUAUUAUUGUUAUUUCUGGAUGUUGAUCGCAAAACAUACAAAUGAAUUGUGAACUUAUUUUCCUGCAGUGUGGUUUGUCAAUAUGAUAACCUUCGUCGAAGUAUCGAGCCUUGAGUUUUGAUUGAGUGAUCUCGAGUAUUAUCUUUUUGUUUCAGUAUUUCCUUAUCAAUUCUGAAGGAAUUUAUUUCUAAUUGUUAUUCUCCUUUUGAUUUUACAGGGGUGGUAAUAUGUGAAACACAAUUCCUUUUGGUCCUAUCUUACUGGUUGAUAUUUUCAUUUUCCCUCUUUUCUCCCUGGUUAUUUUGGUUUCCCGGUUGAGGUUUUAUUCAGAGUUUGUUGUUCUCAUUUUAAUUAUAUAUGCUGCUAUUAUUGAGUUGUUAGAUCUUUCUUUGUUCGCUCUUCUGAUUAUUCUUUUACGUCAAUGUCAAUUGUGAUACACAAGAAUAAUCAAGGUAGGUAUGCUCUUAAAAAGGAAGACAAUUGUGAUUCUCAAUAGAUUGGAUAAGAUGGAGAACUGCUCCAGAUAUAAUAAUCAAAUUUCUUUAGUUAGUCGUUUUUCAUUUUUUAAUUUAUGGCUUUGUUCAGAAGAAAAAAUAUUAUAAUUGUGAGAAUAUUUUUCGGCAGCGCGAUUUGUGAAACUAAUAAUGUUCUACAUGGAGUGUGCUUUGAUGUUUUAUUUUGGGAUCUCUGGUAAAUUUUUUAUGUUUUCAAUAAUUCUCUGUCAAUCAAUUCUAAACACGUAUUUUGGUUGAUUUGUUGUUUCCUUUUUGGUGUUACAGGAUAGUUAAAUCUAUGAACAUGUUAUUCCUUUUGUUUCUAUCUUGCUUGUGUAUGAUCUUUCAUGUAUUAUAUUUUGAUUAUUUUCUGUUUUCUUGAUUCUGAGUUUUGAUUUGGCUCUGGAUUUCAUCGCCGUACAUGUGGAAUUGAAAUUUGAACUUUGUUUUUGCAGUAUAGUUUGUUUGGACACAUUAACAUUCUGCGUAGAGUACCGAGCCUCAGUUUUAAUUUGGUACUCCAUACUAUAUUAUUAUAAAUUAUGUCCAUUUCAUUUCUUCUCGGUCAAUUGCUAUCAACCAGACCAGUUUUAUCGAUUUACUCUGUUCUGAUUUCCACUGUUUCCGGUCAGAUGCGUCUAUUGGUUUGUGUGGUAAGAGUUGGUUGGUGUAAUUGAAAAGUUGAGCCUUAGGGGUUUUCUUAGUUCUUAUCAUUAAUACUUGUUUUUUCUUACAAAUGUUUGUUCUACAUUUGGGUUUUUGAUUUGUAUUCUUACAGUGCAAAAGUUUACAUGAUUCUGGAAAUUUUGGGAGAAAAACCACGAAAAAAGAUAGAAGAGUAGCAUAAUUCUGCAAACCAUGUUGCAUAUCAUCAGAACAAAUAGAUAGCCUGUGAUUGUGUGGUUUGCUAUGGAAACCGUGGCAUGAAGAAGUUCAUUUCGCAUACCUUUCGGUAAAAAUAGUCAUUUCUUUCGUUACAUAUCUAAUAUCUAAUUGUUUUGGGAUAUUUGUCCUUUGAUGGAGUGCCCUGCUGGUGUUAGAUUUUUUGUGUUUCUGAUUCAGCAAGAUUAUGUAGUAUAUGAAGCAUACAAGAUUCUAGAACCUUUGCCCUCCCGAAAAAUGUGGAAUUCAAGAUAACUUGGUUUGGCACUUUUUUGUACUGUUGAUUUGCCAUUCCUUUUGUUAUCUUUUUUUAGUAUAUAAUUGUCAAUUGUGAUAUGUAAAUAUAAGAAUAAGAGUAAGGACAAAAAUAAUAAUAUCAUCCCUCACUCAAGUAGUACAAGAUCUUUGGUGUAGGGGUGCUGUGAAAUUUUGUAUAGGAGGACUAGAAUCUACAAUUGACUGUGUCAUUUUGUCAAAGUCGUUGUUCUUUCA